AAGUCGUAACAAGGUUUCCGUAGGUGAACCUGCGGAAGGAUCAUUAACACGUAUCCUAACGUUAAACCACCCGUGCACAUAUUCAGCUGGUCGUAGAACCGAACUUCGUUUGAUAUCUCGAAGAGUCAGGUAGAGCAUCCCCCCGCCGGGGACUCGUUUGGACCAGUUCGGCAGUCAGAACCCAGUUGUGAUAUCUGGAACUCCAGGCGAAAAUCAGGAACGUAACAGGGAGAGAGACCCUCGCUUUGAGCCAGCACAAGUUUCGAAUCGUUUGCACCCUGUCGGGGACCACUGGGGAGAUGGGAAAUCAGGUCUGGUCAUAGACCGGCCUCUUCCAACCCUGAACAACUGUUAACAAUGGAUAUCUUGGCUCUC
rnacentral:misc_RNA from 1 species